AUGUCCUAAGCUAUUCCCUGUGACUGGUGUCA
rnacentral:piRNA from 1 species